AGUAAGCAAUGAUACUUUGGGGUGAGGGUACAGUCGGCUGGGAGGGUGAAGCUUCAUUACUUCCUUUUUGAAAACUGGCCCUCCCAAUUCCAUGUUUUCAAUAGAUGACAUUCAUAUCCAAGGAUCAGAAGAGAAAUCCAAUUUGGCAGUAGAGAAUGAGAACUCUGGGGGUGGUACCUGAAGUCACAAAAGGGAAUGAAGAAUCUCGGGGCAUGUACGUGGAAUAACAAGGGAAGACCAAAACCUGAUCUCUAGAGACAUCAACAUUUCAUAAUGAGCAGAGCAAUAGGGAUCCACCAAGACAUUUUAAGCAGAGGGCUGUUAUGAUUAAUUUUACAUCUUGGACCGAUCACCCUGGCAACAGAGAGAGGCUGUUGCAUUCAUUCAAGUGAUGACUGGAACUGGGGCAACCAUCUUGGACCUUGAAAGGACCAUGACCUGCAGAAUAGAGGUCAAACAUAGCAGAGAAACAAGACAGAAGGAGUCUCUGGGUCCUGGAGAGCUGCUUGGAGCAGAGCAGCCCUAUCAACCUGGGAGCACCUACCUGGAGCACCUACCUUUCAUGGUAGAGAUAAACUUUUUUUAAAAUCUUAUUUAAGACACUGUUAUAUUAGACCUCUUUUAACUAAUAAAGCUCUCAUUUUUAGCUGUUC